rnacentral:rRNA from 1 species
UACGGGGGGGGCAAGCGUUGUUCGGAAUUACUGGGCGUAAAGGGUUCGUAGGUGGCCAACUAAGUCAGACGUGAAAUCCCUCAGCUUAACUGGGGAACUGCGUCUGAUACUGGUUGGCUUGAGUGCAGGAGAGGAACGCGGAAUUCCAGGUGUAGCGGUGAAAUGCGUAGAUAUCUGGAGGAACACCGGUGGCGAAGGCGGCGUUCUGGACUGCAACUGACACUGGGGAACGAAAGCCAGGGUAGCAAACGGG